CUCUACGCCUUAUACUGCUGCUGUUUUGGAGUACCGGGUUGUUAUUCAUGAUCCAUUGGAAGUGUCUGUUGAUGAAAAGAAGUGGCAUAAUGUAAAUGGUCACGCUGUUGUGGAUGCUCAACAUCCAGUCAGAGCAAAUGUGGCUGUGCGUAAGGAGCUUCACACUCCUGCAUCUGAUCGAUCUUAUACUCAUUUGGAAUUUGAGAUUUCAGGAACUGGAGUUGCAUAUGAAAUAGGGGACCAUGUUGGUGUUUACUGUGAGAAUUUGUCUGAAACUGUGGAAAAGGC